GUGAGGAAUAUUGGUCAAUGGGCGAGAGCCUGAACCAGCCAAGUCGCGUGAAGGAAGAAGGAUCUAUGGUUCGUAAACUUCUUUUGCAGGGGAAUAAAGUGCGGGACGUGUCCUGUUUUGUAUGUACCCUGAGAAUAAGGAUCGGCUAACUCCGUGCCAGCAGCCGCGGUAAUACGGAGGAUCCGAGCGUUAUCCGGAUUUAUUGGGUUUAAAGGGUGCGUAGGUGGUUUGAUAAGUCAGCGGUGAAAGUUUGCAGCUUAACUGUAAAAAUGCCGUUGAAACUGGCGGACUUGAGUGUAAAUGAGGUAGGCGGAAUGCGUGGUGUAGCGGUGAAAUGCAUAGAUAUCACGCAGAACUCCGAUUGCGAAGGCAGCUUACUAAGCUACAACUGACACUGAAGCACGAAAGCGUGGGGAUCAAACAGGAUUAGAAACCCCAGUAGUCC
rnacentral:rRNA from 1 species